UUAAUUGAAGCUAAAAUAGAGGCACAUCAUUGUUAAUGAUGUUAUUGAUUAACAAAUCCAAUUAAA
rnacentral:tRNA from 1 species